AGUAGAACACAGCACACAUUUAUAUGGUCACCUAAAUGAACAGAGCUGAAGGACUCAUAUGCCAAGCCUUUUUCAUGGAACAACAGAGAGAGUCUAACACUGCAAGCUUCCUCCUGAUGCCCUGGCAGUCUCCCGCAAUUCCAAUUUGGUGUGACUGUUUCUUUGGAAGGGAAGAGUAGCUUGAACUCUGUGCUUAUUCAUUCUCACUACUGGGACUAAUCAAUGAAGCAAUUGUAAUUUUUUGGUGAGAUGCCACUGGGAGAAGGUGCUGGGCCAUACCAUGCAUGGAGCAUGGUGAAGAAGGCUUGGAACUGGCAGUGCUGCACAGCUCUGCCCUUGUGCCAUGUCCCAGGGGCUGGAGAGGCACUCAGCGACAAACAGCACUGUAGUGUCUGAGAAAUGGGUAUCAGCAUGGACAAGAAUCACAGAAUCACAGAAUAUCCUGAAUUGGAAGGGACCCACAAGAAUCAUUGAGUCCA